CCGUCCCGGACCCAAGUCCGUGUCCCUCCGUAUAAUAUUAAUUAAGGGGUCCAAUUUUUUUAUAAAUCUAUAUUUUUAGAAAUAAAAAAUUAUAAAUAUAAUAAAUAAAAUUGAAAAGGGUUCAAAUUAUUUGAUAUGUAUAUAGUUUUAUUUUCAUUACAAAAUAUUACUGAUUAAAUUUUAAAAACAUUUUAAACAUUAUCUACAUAUAAAUUUUGAGAAGGUAAAAAAAAUAUUUUUCGCUAACAGUGUUAAGCCGACCCUGUAUGUAUUACCAAUUUGACAAAAAGUUCAAUUUAAUUGAUAUCAAUUUUAAGAAAAAAUAAAUUCAUAAUCAUUUUUUUUUCUUAAAGAAUGGUCACCGAUUGAAGCCAAAUAACUAAUAAUUUGUUUAAAUUAUCAUGAAACCAAAUAACUAAUAAUUGAUGGUGUACCAUAUUCAAAUGACAUUGUAGACUACGUAAUUUUUUAACCAAAAAAAAAAGACUACGUAAUUUGUCCACAGCUUUCCUCUCUUUAAUUAAGCAUAGACUUUGUAUCGGGAACUUUCCUCGUUGGGUCCAUACCUUGUUUAUUCAAAAUUGCUAAGAGGAUAACAAAAGUAUAUUGUUAAACAAUUAGAAACCGUACAGUUCGUGUAAUUGUUAUAUAUAUAUAUAUAUACUAUAUUAAAAGAGUUAUAUGAGCAUCAGAGAGGAUGUCCACGUCGGACAAUAAAAUCAGCCAAUAGGAAAACAGCUCUCCGCCACGUCAGAUAGGCAAUGACAAAUCUAACUUUUUCCAAAAUGAAUCCUGGCCCCUUUCUCUUCGUCUUCUCCGUCUCUCGACAUUCCUAGAUCCAUAUUUUGUUUCUCCUUUUCUUUUCUCAUUCUCUUCCUUUACUUCAUAGUUGAUAGUACUUUCUGAUUUGUGUUGAGAGUAAGCAACGCGGCAAGAGAUGUGGAGGUGAAGUGUGCCAUGGAAGAUGACGGUGGCUUAAGAUCGUUGAGGUGUAGCCGAGCACAGCGACGUCGGAUCUGAAGAUAGAGAACCAUAGCCAUCUAUCCCACCGACCACCGUCAUCUCUAUCUCUCUCUUAAUUCAACGGCGGAGGAGGAUAAGUAUUAAAUCCCGGUCCAAUUACCGGUAUGAAAGAUACUACAGGUAUGAAAGAUUGUCCGUUUUAUCUAAAAACUGUUCGGUUCGGUUAUGGUAGACAUGGCAUUUACAAUCAACUGUCCUACUCAUUCCCCACCGAUUGUAAGGUGCAGUUUUUAGAUUUAUGUUUUUUUUUUAUCAAGUUUGAAAGUGAUUAGCCAUGUCCAUUUCAGUGGGGUUAAACGUUUUUUAUUUUGAUUAUCAGGCCAGAACUUUUGAUUGGAGAUUUGAUAAGAGAACUCAGAAGCUACACGACAGAAAGUCAAGAUAUAUGCUAGUGAAUAUGUUAACUAAACUGAAUGUGAUUUUAAGUUUAUACUUUCUUGAAUUCAUUUUAGGUUUGGUAUAACUUUGUCUUCGUAUUUUGAUUCUCAGGCUAGAACAAUGGAUUUGAGGGCGAGCAGAUCCACAUGGAUAUCAAGAUCCAAAUCAGAAGCCAAAGAUUCAGGCGAAUAAAGAUAAGUAGAGAUGCGAGAGACGUGACCAACAGCUUCUCGAACAAAAUCCAAAGAGACCACAUAAUUUCGCAGAGGAGAAGCUACAGUAGAGAAGAUAUGUGGUCAGAUCUCUGUUGGUCGAAACAUUGGUACCACUAGAGUUCUGAGAUCUGGUUGCAAGAUUAACUUCCUUAGGAGGAGGAGGCAGAGAUUAGCCUCACUCGAGAAGUAUAGAAAGAAGCUUGCUCCUGCCCCCAACAAACCGGACACGUUUUUGAUUGCUCCUGGAGUUAGCGUCCUGGCCGGGACGCUUUCUGCUGCUGAAAUUGCCUCUGUCAUUAACAAGUAUGGAUCUCCUCGCCCUAGAAUGGAAAGCAGAUGGAGGAGAACGGAAGUCUUUGCAGUAGCCAACUGGUCGAGCGCUCCUCAAAAAUAUUUUAGAGAUGCAGUGGUCGAGAUGAUCAUAGAGAAUGGUAUCAACCACCAGGAAGAACUCAAAGAGGUUCUCAUUUGUUAUCUCAGAUUCAACACCGACGAAUAUCAUGUCGACAUGAACAUCAAUAUGUUUCAGCAGAUGUUUAAGACAUGGGAAAAAAUUAUGGAGGAAAGACUAAAGGGGAAACAAAAUGAUACUUAUAGCAAACUUGGGAGUGAAGAAACUGGUGUCUCAGUGGAAAAGGUGAAAGCGAAGUGGUAGGGGAAGUUAAGGAGUACUAGGUAUUAAUGACCUGUUUCUUUUCUCGAGAUGCAGAUCAUUUUUUCAAAACAUGUUUAGUGUCAUUUGAGGUUUUGGUUUUGUUGCUGAGAAGGUUCCAUGGCAUUAAAAUUGAGUUAUGUUUCUCAUGGCCAUCCAAAUCGUAUAUAAAAUUUAGUAAAUAAUUUUUAUUAAA